rnacentral:rRNA from 1 species
CCUACGGGAGGCAGCAGUGGGGAAUAUUGGACAAUGGGCGAAAGCCUGAUCCAGCCAUGCCGCGUGUGUGAAGAAGGUCUUCGGAUUGUAAAGCACUUUAAGCUGGGAGGAAGGGCAGUAAGUUAAUACCUUGCUGUUUUGACGUUACCGACAGAAUAAGCCCCG